rnacentral:sRNA from 2 species
UAAGCACCUCGCUAGGCGAGGCUCCUGCAUGAACACAGGCCACUGAUCUGACGACGUCGACAGACGCCCAAGGUUAGGACAGGUAUUCCCGGAUUAAGGGUCUAUCCAAAGUGGCUUCUCGAUCCCCUCGAGACACGUCGUGCAGUGCCGAAGCUCUGACGAGAGGGGUGCCCG